CAGGUGGCCAUAUUGGAAAACGUUAUUCAUUCUCCCUCUCCUGGUUGGAGUUCAAAAAUCCUGCCCCUAGUAACUCAGCGGGUCAAAGUCUUCCUUCCGCACUUUGAAUUCAAAUUAAGAUAUUUUAGGUUAUCCACUGGAUUUCAGCAGGACAUAGGGACUGACGUGACUUGCCUGCUAGAGAAGGAGUAUUGUACUUACAUGAGAGAGAAGUGCCACAGAGCACUUAGAGACCACCCUCUGGGCCCUGGAGAUGCCUACAAAUCUGG